GCUAUGUCGUAAACGAAUCACAACCGUCCAUCCUUUCCUUCGGCUAUUCACAACUGUUAAUCCUCCCGCGACGUUGGAAUUCAACUCAUCCCUCCAAACGCUGCGCGUGCAACCCACGCACCACCACCUAGAACAAUUACUCUCUUCCUUCUACAACUAUCCUACGCAUCAUACCUCACAAACCUAUGCUACCCUCUUCCACGCCUGCGCCCUCCUUCACCGCCUUGAUAUUGGCCAAGACAUCCACAACCACAUUACUCUCUUCCUUCUACAACUAUCCUACACAUCAUUCCUCACAAACCUAUGCUACCCUCUUCCACGCCUGCGCCCUCCUUCACCGCCUUGAUAUUGGCCAAGACAUC
rnacentral:lncRNA from 1 species